AGAACGAACGCUGGCGGCAGGCCUCAAACAUGCAAGUCUAGGGGGCGUAGCAAUACGUCACCGGCGGACGGGUGCGUAACACGUGGGAAUGUACUUACUGGUUCGGAACAACUCAGGGAAACUUGAGCUAAUACCGAAUGUGCCCGAAAGGGGAAAGAUUUAUCGCCAGUAAAUCAGCCCGCGUCCGAUUAGCUAGUUGGCGGGGUAAAGGCCCACCAAGGCGACGAUCGGUAGCUGUUCUGAGAGGAAGAUCAGCCACACUGGGACUGAGACACGGCCCAGACUCCUACGGGAGGCAGCAGUUGGGAAUCUUGGACAAUGGGGGAACCCUGAUCCAGCCAUGCCGCGUGAGUGAUGAAGGCCUUCGGGUUGUAAAACUCUUUCGACGGGGACGAUAAUGACGGUACCCGUAGAAGAAGCUCCGGCUAACUUCGCGCCAGCAGCCGC
rnacentral:rRNA from 1 species